CAGAACACUGGGGCAUCCCCACCAUGGCCUGGACUCCACUCUCCCUCCUCAUCUUCCUCCUUCACUGCACAGGUUCCCUCUCCCAGCCUGUGCUGACUCAGCCGCCGUCCAUCUCUGUGUCUCCGGGAGCAAUAGCUGCACUCACCUGCACCCUGAGCAGUGGCUUUGUUGUUGGCUCCUACUAUAUAUUCUGGUUCCAGCAGAAGCCAGGGAGACCUCCCUGGUACCUCCUGGGUUAUAAAUCAGACUCAGAGAAGCACCAGGGCUCCGGGGUCCCCAGCCGUUUCUCUGGAUCCAAACAUGCCUCAGCCAAUGCAGGGCUCCUGCUCAUCUCGGGGCUGCAGCCUGAGGAUCAGGCUGACUACUACUGCGGUGCAUGGGACAGCAGCAUUGACACUUACACGGUGCUCCAGAGUCAUGGGGAAGUGAGACUGAAACCUCCCUGUGCUCUUUCUGCCUGUGGCUGUCACCCCUGA